rnacentral:rRNA from 1 species
CCCCUAGAUGUUCUGGGCCGCACGCGCGCUACACUGAACAGUUCAACAAGUCUUAACCUUGGCCGAUAGGUCUGGGUAAUCUUUGAACGCUGUUCGUGAUUGGGAUAGACCUUUGCAAUUAUGGGUCUUGAACGAGGAAUUCCUAGUAAACGCAGAUCAUCAAUCUGCAUUGAUUACGUCCCUGCCCUUUGUACACACCGCCCGUCGCACCUACCGAUUGAAUGGUCCGGUGAAGCCUCGGGAUUGUGGCGAGUUCCCUUUAUUGGGAGUUUGUCGCGAGAACUUGUCUAAACCUUAUCAUUUAGAGGAAGGUGAANUCGUANCA